CUCUCAAACGGUAACAUAACUAGCUUCUCUACUGUCAAAACCCAAACACUUGCUACUCUCUCACACACUUCACAACCAAUUCUUUCCAUCUCUCUCUGAAAGUGAACCGUCUCUUCUCUCCCAAGCAAACCGUUCUCCGAUUCGAUAGAUUCUAUUGGAUAAUCCCAUGCAACAAAGGAUAUGGCAUGUGACACUUUUUUGAAAAUAGUUCAGAAGUGCAAGCGAAAGUUUAUGAUCACCCAGGGCCGAGAUCCCGAGUUGGUCGUGCUAAAUAACUCUUUCUCAGUCUCAGGCAAUAUUAACGGUCAUCAGAGUUUGGUUCCCUGUGUUAAGGACCAUCUUUUCACACCAUUGCAGUGAAGGCAUGUGAAAAUGCAUUGUAGUGCAUUGGCAAUAAUGAUGUUGAAAAGCUUUGAAGAAACACAUUUUCUGAACAAUUUGAGUUUAACUGUAUUGCAAUUCAAGAAGGCAGAGAAUCUUAUGCUGAAGAGCGACAAAAACAAAGAGUAUCUCCCGAUUGAAGGUUUGAAUGCAUUUAAUAAGGCAACUGCAGAACUGUUACACGGAGCAGACAAUCCAGCAAUCAAACAACAUAGAGUUGCCACUGUCCAAGGUCUUUCAGGAUCUGGUUCUCUGCUACUAGGUGCAGCACUGAUAGAACGAUAUUUUCCCGGGGCAAAAGUUUUGAUAUCAAAUCCUACAUGGGAUGUGCAUUUUUGUUCCUUUCUCUGUUUAACCUGGUCAUGAGUUUUGUUUCAAGGGAGUUCGUACCUGUUAACGUUGUUAUCUUUCAGGUAAUCACAAGAAUAUUUUCAACGAUGCUGGAGUACCAUGGUCCCAGUACCGAUUUUAUGACACCAAAACAGUUGGGUUGGAUUUUGAGGGCAUGAUAGAAGAUAUAAUAAAGGUUACAUCUCGAUCCAAUAUUUAGAUAGUGAAACCAAUCAUACUUUUAUAUGAUACUUUUGUAUUAGAAAAGUAUAUUGGUUGAAAGAAAUUAUGUCUCUCAUCUUCCUACUAAAUGAGGUCUUUUUCAAGCAUAUUGUUAUAACUCAAAGUUGGAUUUCUAAGGAAUGAUCCAUUUUUUCUGCCUUGAGGAUUUCUAAUUUCAAUAGGAAUUGUUGCUCACAAAUCUCAUACAUUGAACUUUGUUAGAUACCUGAAUGUAGUUAGAAAAUGUCAUAUAAUGUGAAGUAAUACACUUCUUUGGUUGGGUAUUAUUGACAUGUAUCGUUGCUCCUGAGUGGAAUUUGGCCUCUCUUGGCAGUAAGCUUCCUGUCAUGGUCCUCUAUCAGUCAUAAGAUGGAUCUUGGGUCUACCCAACUCGAUGACACCCUCCCCUCCUCUUAUGAUUACAUAUCGAGUAUGAGGGGAGCGAGUCGAGCAAGGCCAGAUUGGGCCGAACGGUGGAGAACAUAACAUAUGGGCCAGGUGUAGAAUAAUAUUAUAACCAUUGUGCACUUGUGUAGAAUCUAUGGGUUCAAGUUCAACAGUACUUGUUCUCCUUGUACCAUCUAUACAGGAUGCUAACCGUGCUUUUUUUCCCCCUUAGGUAAUGGUAAAUAUCUAGAUUCUUUAAACAUUGUUUUAGUUUUACUCAAAUCAGAUAACAAAAAUUGCACUUCAGCGGCGCAAGAGUUUUCAAUGCUGUCUUGGCGGAGUUGUUAGCAAAUGGAUUGAAAAAUGCUCAAAAUGUAUGACAACAUUAAUGUAUGAUCAUGGUCCUAGUUAUCAAAAGAUAAGGGCGUCUUUUUUACUUUCCUUUUUCAAAUUAUCUCUAUUCUCUACAGUUUUUAGUCUGAUGGUUGUGCACUUUGCUAUGUACUUGCUUUUAUCUUUUCAAUUGUUUUCACUUUAACUUUGUUAGGAAUUUUGUAUUUUUAAAUGUGUUGUUUCCUUUUGUAGAUCAUAAUGAAUAAUUUCGCAUGAAUUCCUUGUUUAUGCUCACUUUUUUAGUGUUUUUAGUUGUUUUCCAACUCAAUUGGUUGCUUCAGGAAGUAGAUAUGUAGUGGCUAGGAUUCGAACAUGAGAUUUCACUCUCCUCCACAUUUAAAAUUUGUUAGUCUAAUAUUUCUAGCUGCUUAAGCCAAAUAAAUAAUACUCCAUCCUGUCCGAUAUAUAAUCAAUUUUUAACUUUUUAGGUUCAUUCAAUUAUUAAUAUGUGUUCAAAAUAUUGGCCAGAUACAUUAAUAAUUGAAUGAACCUAAAAUGUGAAAAUUUGUGAGACUGGAGGGAGUAGAAGAAAACUGAAUUAUUGAUAUACAAUGUUGCAAAAUGUAUUAAAUUGUCCUGUGAAUCUUGUUACUACUCACUAGAAUCCGUAAAAGUUAUAAUAUUAAGGCAACUAAUAAUAUUACCGCCAUUCUUUAUAGGCCCAAUUCCAAUUAAGAGUAGUUGUAGAAGCUCAGCUAAACGGUCCCCGUGAGCUUAACUGAAUUAUAUUGCUAUAUUUUAAUGAAAGGUUCAGUAUUUUGAUUUAAUUGUUUUUAUAUAUAUUUUUCCAUUUUGCAACCCCCCCCCCCCCCCCCCCCCCCCCGCUAAAUAGCGUGUUUUUUUGUAGUGCACCACUGGCAGGAUGUGUUUGUUGGAGGUCUUAGUCCAUUGUUUUGCAUCUCAAUUACUUGCAAAUUAACUUAGCUUACAGUUAAAUUGAAAAAAGAAAAACUCAGCAGUGUUUGUUGGUACUUGACUGUGUGAGAUUUCUUCUUUCAGGGUUUGUGGUAGAUAAUUUACCCUGUGGCAAGUUUUCUAAGUUAACAUUUUUAUUGGCAGAACCGAACUAUUUUAAGGAGAGAUAUCUUUUAAUCAAAUCUGAAUUUUUGUUGUCAUUAUUAUUAUUAUUACUAUAAUUAUUAUUAUGACCAUCAUCAUCGUUGUAUUUACUUUUAUAUAAUAUAGAUGUGAUUCUUUUGGUUACUAAUUUAGAUGUUGUUUUAAUGAUUAUGGAAGAUAGUGUGAAUUAGUUGUUUUUGAAUGUUUGUUGAGACCUUAUGAAUGAAAUUAUGCUUUGAGUGACCAUAGUAUGAACGAUUUUAGAAAUGCUGAAUUAUAUUUUCAAAUUGUUUUGAUGUCCUUCUACAGGUUAGUCCAUUGUCUUACAGGUCGUAUGCAAUUUUUUGUAUGAUUAAACUGUUGGCUUUAGAUUACUAACUAUGGUUUUAACUUGGAAAUGAAGUAUCUCCCAAUUGAAGGUUUGAAUGCAUUUAAUAAGGCAACUGCAGAACUGUUACACGGAGCAGACAAUCCAGCAAUCAAACAGCAUAGAGUUGCCACUGUACAAGGUCUUUCAGGAUCUGGUUCUCUGCUACUAGGUGCAGCACUGAUAGAACAAUAUUUUCCCGGGGCAAAAGUUUUGAUAUCAAAUCCUACAUGGGAUGUGCAUUUGUUUUCCUUUCUCUGUUUAACUUGGUCAUGAUUUUUGUUUCAAGGGAGUUCGUACCUGUUAACGUUGUUAUCUUUCAGGUAAUCACAAGAAUAUUUUCAACGAUGCUGGAGUACCAUGGUCCCAGUACCGAUUUUAUGGCACCAAAACAGUUGGGUUGGAUUUUGAGGGCAUGAUAUAAGAUAUAAAGGUUACAUCCCGAUCCAAUAUUUAGAUAGUGAAACCAAUCAUACUUUUAUAUGAUACUUUUGUAUUAGAAAAGUAUAUUGGUUGAAAGAAAUUAUGUUUCUCAUCUUCCUACUAAAUGAGGUCUUUCUCAAGUUCAACAGUACUUGUUCUCCUUGUACCAUCUAUACAGGAUGCUAACCGUGCUUUUUUUUUCCCCUCAGGUAAUGGUAAAUAUCUAGAUUCUUUAACCAUUGUUUUAGUUUUACUCAAAUCAGAUCACAAAAAUUGCACUUCAGAGGCGCAAGAGUUUUCAAUGCUGUCAUGGCGGAGUUGUUAGCAAAAGGAAUGAAAAAUGCUCAAAAUGUAUGACAACUUUAAUGUAUGAUCAUGGUCCUAGUUAUCAAAAGAUAAAGGUGUCUUUUUUACUUUCCUUUGUCAAGUUAUCUCUAUUCUCUACAGUUUUUAGUCUGAUGGUUGUGCACUUUGCUAUGUACUUGCUUUUAUCUUUUCAAUUGUUGUCAUAUUAUUAUUGUUCACCAUGUUAGAAUAUGCUACUUGUCUGUCAUGAAUCAUUAUCACUUUUUAUUGCAUGACCCUUGUAUCAUAUUAUAAUUCUAACUUUUGCUUAGAGGCUAUGUAUCUGCAAAAGCCUAACCAAGGAACAAAUGGUAUUUCUGUUUAAACUUGGCUUGAAAUAUAAUGAAACUUGUCAUGCUGCUUGAAUCUAUGCUAGGCUCAUCUCUAAUUUAAGUUAUUAUUCAUUAAAUUUUGAAAUUUCUGGCUAUAAGCAUGAUUGGUAUUGUAUAAUAAAGCCAAAUUUUAUAAAUUGUACUCUAAGCAUACUCAAAUUUAGCAAAAAUACCAGCGUAAGAUGAUAUUGUUAUAUUUUGUUCUUAAUGUCUGAUUACUAGUUGGCUUGAUUAAUGGUUAUGCUUGCUGUAUUCAUUUUCCACACGGUUUCCAAAUCUUUUGUUAUCUAUAACUUGAUUCUAGACUUGUGUAACCUUUUUUUCUUUUUUAUUUGACUUUUCGAAAUCUGAACAGUGUAAUUCCAUUUGCAGAGACUUCCUUUCCUUUUAGAGAGGAUUCUCUAUCUUAGUUUUGAUGUAAUUUCAAAUGGUGCGGGGGACUGGCCCAGUAGGUUAUAUCAAUUUUAUUCACUUGCAAUUUAUUUUUAGUGUCUGUUUUUAAUUGUAAGGAUCUUUUGAAUUUUGUAAUUGAUAUAUUCUUCAAAAUAUGUCUUUAAAGACGUUAUAUUUAAAUUAUAACACAGGGAUGGCGGUUAGUUUGUCCACAUUUUACAGCUUUAUUGGAAUAUGAAAUCUUCACAGCAUUGGUCAUGAAUGAAUAGGACAUGUUAGAUUGGGAAGAAGAUGCUGAUGAGUAUAUACGGAAGAAUUUUCCUUCAGAUAUUCUUCAAAAUAUGUGUUUAAAGACGUUAUAUUUAAAAUAUAACAUAGGGAUGGCCGUUAAUUUGUCCACAUUUUACAGCUUGAACAGUGUAAUUCCAUUUGCAGAGACUUCCUUUCCUUUUAGAGAGGAUUCUCUAUCUUAGUUUUGAUAUAAUUUCAAAUGGUGCUGGGGACUCGCCCAGUAGGUUAUAUCAAUUUUAUUCACUUGCAAUUUA